ACGAACGCUGGCGGCGUGCUUAACACAUGCAAGUCGAACGGAAAGGCCCUGCUUUUGUGGGGUGCUCGAGUGGCGAACGGGUGAGUAACACGUGAGUAACCUGCCCUUGACUUUGGGAUAACUUCAGGAAACUGGGGCUAAUACCGGAUAGGAGCUCCUGCUGCAUGGUGGGGGUUGGAAAGUUUCGGCGGUUGGGGAAGGACUCGCGGCUUAUCAGCUUGUUGGUGGGGUAGUGGCUUACCAAGGCUUUGACGGGUAGCCGGCCUGAGAGGGUGACCGGCCACAUUGGGACUGAGAUACGGCCCAGACUCCUACGGGAGGCAGCAGUGGGGAAUAUUGCACAAUGGGCGGAAGCCUGAUGCAGCAACGCCGCGUGCGGGAUGACGGCCUUCGGGUUGUAAACCGCUUUCGCCUGUGACGAAGCGUGAGUGACGGUAAUGGGUAAAGAAGCACCGGCUAACUACGUG
rnacentral:rRNA from 1 species